AGAACGAACGCUGGCGGCAUGCCUAAUACAUGCAAGUCGAACGAACUCUUCGGAGUUAGUGGCGCACGGGUGCGUAACGCGUGGGAAUCUGCCCCUUGGUUCGGAAUAACAGUUGGAAACGACUGCUAAUACCGGAUGAUGACGAAAGUCCAAAGAUUUAUCGCCAAGGGAUGAGCCCGCGUAGGAUUAGCUAGUUGGUGAGGUAAAGGCUCACCAAGGCAACGAUCCUUAGCUGGUCUGAGAGGAUGAUCAGCCACACUGGGACUGAGACACGGCCUAGACUCCUACGGGAGGCAGCAGUAGGGAAUAUUGGACAAUGGGCGAAAGCCUGAUCCAGCAAUGCCGCGUGAGUGAUGAAGGCCUUAGGGUUGUAAAGCUCUUUUACCCGAGAUGAUAAUGACAGUAUCGGAGAAUAAGCCCCGGACUAACUCCGUGCCAGCAGCCGC
rnacentral:rRNA from 1 species